rnacentral:rRNA from 1 species
UACGAAGGGUGCAAGCGUUACUCGGAAUUACUGGGCGUAAAGCGUGCGUAGGUGGUUAGGUAAGUCCGGUGUGAAAUCUCCAGGCUCAACCUGGAAAUGGCAUUGGAUACUAUUUAGCUUGAGGAGUGGAGGGGGGACUGGAAUUCUCGGUGUAGCAGUGAAAUGCGUAGAUAUCGAGAGGAACACCAGUGGCGAAGGCGAGUCCCUGGACACUUCCUGACACUGAGGCACGAAAGCUAGGGGAGCAAACAGG